UUUUGUUUUUGUGAAUUCAACUGAUUGGAGGGAGCUAAACUGUACUGUGAUUAUUGAUUAGUGAUUACUGAAACUGAACUGUGAUUCAACAUGAUGAACACCGAAACUGUAUUGGAUUGUAUUAUUAUUGCUCUGUUGUGUCUGUUCUGAAACUGAUUAGUGAUUUUCUGAAUGUGAAAUCAAUCAAAGAAAUUGAUUUUGUGUUGUCGAAAUUAUUGCUAAAAUGGGUUUGUUACUCUGCUGUUGCUGUUUUUUAAUUUAUGAGUAUACUAUUUUUGAAUUUUUGUUGAUAGAUUUAUUGAUUUCAGAGUUUAGGGUGAUUAUUUGUUGCUGUGUUUUAAUUUUAAACCAAAUUGAUGCUUUCAAAAAAUUAACAAACAGCAUAUGUCCCAUGUUAUUGAAUUAGAGCAAGGAAAUCAUGAAGAUGAUGCUGUUGUUUGAGGUCUUGGGAGUGCUGUUGAUGAUGGUAGUGUAUUUCUCUUACGCAGAAGACAGUGGUUCAAGCCACUCUCAUUUCUAAUAUUUUUUAAUUCAUUCUUUAACUGCAAAAUUUGGUUUCUGAUGCUUUUUAAUGCUAAAUUUGAUUGAUUCUGUGGAUAUUUAGACACCCUUUUGUUUAUGAUUCAUGGAAUUGAGAAUUGGAUUGUUUGGUACUGCUCUAUCUGUAUACUUGUUCUAUGUCUUGGUGUUGAGUCUUACAAAUAUUCUCAAUUACUUACAGCUGUGGUUUCCUUCUUGAAUGAAAUUUUAUUUUUCCAAAAAAAAUCAUAGAGGAUUAGGAUUGUGGAUUUUUUAAUUGAGUGAUGAAUGUAAAGCUGAAGAUGAUGAUGACAAAAGUGCUUGGAAACAUAUAUUUUAAGAGAGUUUAAAAAAAUUUUUGAGUUUGUAAAUUGAUAAGAUCAUAUAGUUUUAGUGUGUUUAUGUAUAUUUUAUUUAUUAUUUUAUUAUAAAACGGUUUUUUUCAGUUAAACCAUGGUCGAACCGGUUGAACCUGAAAACCAGUAAACCAGUAACCAGAACGGUUCGAUGACCGAUUUGGUUUUCAAAACUUUGAUCGAAAUAUUUU